ACGCACAAUUUCACAAGAUGAAGUCCACUCGUCUCUCUUUCUUCUUGGUUGUCUUGUUUGCACUUAUCCUCGUGUCGUCUGCAGGAAGAGCACCACAUGCCACCUUCGGGAUCCAAAACAAUAAACCGAAAGGAGACGCUGUUGUUAAAACAGAGAAAGUAGUUCAACCAAACGUUGAAGGUGGUUGUUGGCCUUGUUGGCCGCCGACACGUGGUCGUCGACUUCUACAGACUAAACUUUAUGGUCGAGUCAGUCGAUAUAUGUAGCUACGAGCAAAUGUACUCCAAAUAAUAUGAAUAAAUGACGGAAUAAUUUCUUGUUUUAU